rnacentral:rRNA from 2 species
CACCUGAUUGAUUUUGGUCGCCAACGAGUGGCGGACGGGUGAGUAACACGUAGGUAACCUGCCCAGAAGCGGGGGACAACAUUUGGAAACAGAUGCUAAUACCGCAUAACAGCGUUGUUCGCAUGAACAACGCUUAAAAGAUGGCUUCUCGCUAUCACUUCUGGAUGGACCUGCGGUGCAUUAGCUUGUUGGUGGGGUAACGGCCUACCAAGGCGAUGAUGCAUAGCCGAGUUGAGAGACUGAUCGGCCACAAUGGGACUGAGACACGGCCCAUACUCCUACGGGAGGCAGCAGUAGGGAAUCUUCCACAAUGGGCGCAAGCCUGAUGGAGCAACACCGCGUGAGUGAAGAAGGGUUUCGGCUCGUAAAGCUCUGUUGUUAAAGAAGAACACGUAUGAGAGUAACUGUUCAUACGUUGACGGUAUUUAACCAGAAAGUCACGGCUAACUACGUGCCAGCAGCCGCGGUAAUACGUAGGUGGCAAGCGUUAUCCGGAUUUAUUGGGCGUAAAGAGAGUGCAGGCGGUUUUCUAAGUCUGAUGUGAAAGCCUUCGGCUUAACCGGAGAAGUGCAUCGGAAACUGGAUAACUUGAGUGCAGAAGAGGGUAGUGGAACUCCAUGUGUAGCGGUGGAAUGCGUAGAUAUAUGGAAGAACACCAGUGGCGAAGGCGGCUACCUGGUCUGCAACUGACGCUGAGACUCGAAAGCAUGGGUAGCGAACAGGAUUAGAUACCCUGGUAGUCCAUGCCGUAAACGAUGAGUGCUAGGUGUUGGAGGGUUUCCGCCCUUCAGUGCCGGAGCUAACGCAUUAAGCACUCCGCCUGGGGAGUACGACCGCAAGGUUGAAACUCAAAGGAAUUGACGGGGGCCCGCACAAGCGGUGGAGCAUGUGGUUUAAUUCGAAGCUACGCGAAGAACCUUACCAGGUCUUGACAUCUUGCGCCAACCCUAGAGAUAGGGCGUUUCCUUCGGGAACGCAAUGACAGGUGGUGCAUGGUCGUCGUCAGCUCGUGUCGUGAGAUGUUGGGUUAAGUCCCGCAACGAGCGCAACCCUUGUUACUAGUUGCCAGCAUUAAGUUGGGCACUCUAGUGAGACUGCCGGUGACAAACCGGAGGAAGGUGGGGACGACGUCAGAUCAUCAUGCCCCUUAUGACCUGGGCUACACACGUGCUACAAUGGACGGUACAACGAGUCGCGAACUCGCGAGGGCAAGCAAAUCUCUUAAAACCGUUCUCAGUUCGGACUGCAGGCUGCAACUCGCCUGCACGAAGUCGGAAUCGCUAGUAAUCGCGGAUCAGCAUGCCGCGGUGAAUACGUUCCCGGGCCUUGUACACACCGCCCGUCACACCAUGAGAGUUUGUA